AUUGAACGCUGGCGGCAUGCUUUACACAUGCAAGUCGGACGAGUGGCGAACGGGUGAGUAACGCAUCGGAACGUACCGAGUGAAGGGGGAUAACUAUCCGAAAGGACAGCUAAUACCGCAUAUUAUUCGAGCGGCCGAUGUCUGAUUAGCUGGUUGGCGGGGUAAAGGCCCACCAAGGCGACGAUCAGUAGCGGGUCUGAGAGGAUGAUCCGCCACACUGGGACUGAGACACGGCCCAGACUCCUACGGGAGGCAGCAGUGGGGAAUAUUGCACAAUGGGCGCAAGCCUGAUGCAGCCAUGCCGCGUGUGUGAAGAAGGCCUUCGGGUUGUAAAGCACUUUCAGCGAGGAGGCGUUACUCGCAGAAGAAGCACCGGCUAACUCCGUGCCAGCAGCCGCGGUAAUUC
rnacentral:rRNA from 1 species